AACGAACGCUGGCGGCAGGCUUAACACAUGCAAGUCGAACGGGCGUAGCAAUACGUCAGUGGCAGACGGGUGAGUAACACGUGGGAACCUUCCUCGUAGUACGGAACAACUCAGGGAAACUUGAGCUAAUACCGUAUACGCCCGGAGCAAUCCGGGGAAAGAUUUAUCGCUAUGAGACGGGCCCGCGUCCGAUUAGCUAGUUGGUGGGGUAACGGCCUACCAAGGCAACGAUCGGUAGCUGACUGAGAGGAUGAUCAGCCACACUGGGACUGAGACACGGCCCAGACUCCUACGGGAGCAGCAGUGGGAAUCUUGGACAAUGGGCGCAAGCCUGAUCCAGCC
rnacentral:rRNA from 1 species